rnacentral:rRNA from 1 species
GAAAAGAAACCAACAGGGAUUGCCCUAGUAACGGCGAGUGAAGCGGCAACAGCUCAAAUUUGAAAUCUGGCUUCGGCCCGAGUUGUAAUUUGCAGAGGAUGUUUCUGGCGCGGUGCCUUCCGAGUUCCCUGGAACGGGACGCCACAGAGGGUGAGAGCCCCGUAUGGUAGGACACCAAGCCUGUGUGAAACUCCUUCGACGAGUCGAGUAGUUUGGGAAUGCUGCUCUAAAUGGGAGGUAAAUCUCUUCUAAAGCUAAAUACCGGCCAGAGACCGAUAGCGCACAAGUAGAGUGAUCGAAAGAUGAAAAGCACCUUGAAAAGGGGGUUAAACAGUACGUGAAAUUGUUGAAAGGGAAGCGCUCAUGACCAGACUUGUGCCGGGCGGCUCAUCAGGGGUUCUCCCCUGUGUAUUCCGCCCGGCUCAGGCCAGCAUCGGUUCUCGUUGGGGGAUAAGAACGGUAGGAACGUGGCUCCCUUUCGGGGGAGUGUUAUAGCCUGCCGUACGAUACCCUAGUGGGGACCGAGGUUCGCGCUCCGCAAGGAUGCUGGCGUAAUGGUCAUCAGCGACCCGUCUUGAAACACGGACCAAGGAGUCGUCCAUUAGAGCGAGCGUUUGGGUGUAAAACCCGCACGCGUAAUGAAAGUGAAAUUAGGUGAGAGCUUCGGCGCAUCAUCGACCGAUCCUGAUGUUCUCGGAAGGAUUUGAGUAAGAGUUUUAACGGACGGACCCGAAAGACAGUGAACUAUGCUUGUAUAGGGUGAAGCCAGAGGAAACUCUGGUGGAGGCUCGCAGCGGUUCUGACGUGCAAAUCGAUCGUCAAAUAUGAGCAUGGGGGCGAAAGACUAAUCGAACUGU